rnacentral:rRNA from 1 species
AGUGAACGCUGGCGGUAGGCCUAACACAUGCAAGUCGAACGGCAGCACAGUAAGAGCUUGCUCUUACGGGUGGCGAGUGGCGGACGGGUGAGGAAUACAUCGGCAUCUACUUUUUCGUGGGGGAUAACGUAGGGAAACUUACGCUAAUACCGCAUACGACCUACGGGUGAAAGCAGGGGAUCUUCGGACCUUGCGCGAUUGAAUGAGCCGAUGUCGGAUUAGCUAGUUGGCGGGGUAAAGGCCCACCAAGGCGACGAUCCGUAGCUGGUCUGAGAGGAUGAUCAGCCACACUGGAACUAAGACACGGUCCAGACUCCUACGGGAGGCAGCAGUGGGGAAUAUUGGACAAUGGGCGCAAGCCUGAUCCAGCCAUACCGCGUGGGUGAAGAAGGCCUUCGGGUUGUAAAGCCCUUUUGUUGGGAAAGAAAAGCAGCAGGUUAAUACCCCGCUGUUCUGACGGUACCCAAAGAAUAAGCACCGGCUAACUUCGUG